AGAUUGAACGCUGGCGGCAUGCCUAACACAUGCAAGUCGAACGGGAGUAGCAAUACUCUAGUGGCGGACGGGUGAGGAAUACGUAGGAAUUUGCCCUUAAGUGGGGGAUAACCCGGGGAAACCCGGAUUAAUACCGCAUGACCUCGAAAGAGCAAAGUGGGGGAUCGCAAGACCUCACGCUUUUGGAGAAGCCUACGUCGGAUUAGCUAGUUGGUGAGGUAAUGGCUCACCAAGGCGACGAUCCGUAGCUGGUCUGAGAGGAUGAUCAGUCACACCGGAACUGAGACACGGUCCGGACUCCUACGGGAGGCAGCAGUGGGGAAUAGUUGGACAGUGGGACGCAAGCCUGACUCCGAGCAAUCGCCGCGUGUGUAGAAGAAGGCCGUUC
rnacentral:rRNA from 1 species